AACCAGAGAACAGAAACUCCCUGCCAGUCAAUUGUCCAAUUAAUUAUAAACCUCUGAAAAUGGGACAUUAUGCAUAAAACAGUUCAAACACGUCAAUAAUAUAGUAAUUAUUUAAUUCAGAUGAAAAAUUAAAAACAUAUUUCGUUUCAACAGACAAACAAACCAAAGAAAAAAACCCAACCCUGUUUAAAUACAAACAAAUAACUGAGGUUUCCCAACACACUGUGACAACACUCAGUUUUAACUAAAACUGAAAAAGGAUCAAACUCAAUGCAGAAGGUUCUGAAGGUAAAACCUUCUCCCUUUGUUCAGAUUUCCUGCUAUGGAAGCACACUUUUUAAUAAAAAACAAUGUUUUCUCUCAGCGCCUAGGUUCAGCCUAUGGGGGGAAGUGGCUGAUUUCACUGCGGGAUGCAGCCACUGGACACUAAAGCGUCAGAUCACCAUCCCCGCCCUGCAAGAGCUCACAGUCUGCUUCUACCUGAAUCUAGAGGAGGUACUGAUGAUAAAUGUCCUCCACUUACAACUGGUUUAACUGUCACAGGGAUAUUUUUAAAGGGGCCGAACAGUUAAAGAAAUGAAAUCUCACUAACUCCAAACAUGUCUAGACCAUAGGUUCCUCACCAUGGACCGCCUUUAUGUACCGACAUCCAAUGGCACAGUAUGCUGAGCUGGGGCUGGGGUUUAAGGCGGGUCAUUUAGUGGUCUGGUUGUUUGGCGUGGAGUGGAGGACCCAGAAGAUCAACCUCCUUGAGUCACAGUGGUACCCACUAUGCCUGACCUGGUCACAUACAAAAGACAGACCUGCCUUAUACCUUAAAGGGACCCUGCUGAACCUCACGGCAGUUCUCUAUGGAGCUACUUUUACCUCCUCCUCAUGCUCCACACUGGCCCCCGAUGGAUCGCUCACUCUGGGAUCAGGACACUUCAUUGUAAACGACAACAUACAGAUCAUUCCUUUUACCGGUGUGUCGGGAAAACUCUCUCUGUUCCGGAUGUGGGGGAGAGAACGCAGCAGCAAGGAAGUGGCAUCAAUGAACUGUACAGAGGGGGAUGUUGUGAAGUGGGAGAGAGACAACUGGGACACUCAGAUCUGUGCUCCACUCCAAGAUCCCAGCCUGAAUUGCACAUGGUCCAUUUACCAAGUGAAACUGAUAAUUACUAUUAUUCGUCAGGAUGGGAACAAAACUGAGCUCUACACAGCCAGAGACAUCGCACAUCAAUGGGUAAAACAAACAAAAACUUCAACAAAAAAUAAGGUUUAUUCAUCUAUUUUUAAAUUCU
rnacentral:lncRNA from 1 species